UGCUAAGAGGACUGAGCCCUCUAAGCUGAGACUUGUUUGUGACUUUGCCAGCAAGUAGUCCAAGGCUCAACCCUCUAUCGGUUCCCCACACAGAGGGACUGCCAUUUUCAGAAACACUUUCCCUAGAUGCCAGUGAUGAAUUUAUUGAGUGCCUGAGUCAUCAGUGGAAGAACUGCCAGUCUCUGUUGUUUGGUUUGUAAAAUAAUGAAGGCUUUUUCCUAAGAAAUGUUGGGUGUUCUAUUAACUUUAUAGGUUAGUUUAUAAGGAGAUCUGGGCUUUCCAAGCAUGAUGAGUUGAAAAACUUUUUUGGGUUGUCAACCAUUUUUGCCCUUGGGGCAACAGUAUGGUGCAGAAAUUAGCUCAGCAGUUGUUGUCAAAUUUACACUGCUGCCCAUAUUUUCCUAAGAAACACGGUGGACACUCUAGUUCUCAUGUGAAGAUGGAUGAUUUGAGACACAGAGAUCACUCCAAAGAGGGGGUAGCUGUGACAACCUCAAGUAUGUCUGGGAGCAUGAAUUUUUUUUCUUGUUUGCAAGGGAUGCCAAUACAUGUGAAGGGAAUAUCUUGCCCAGGUUUUGCAGAGGGCCAUAUGCCCUAAUGCCUACAAUUUCAUGGGUGAUGGUCACUGGUUUGAGGACCAUAGCAGUGAGGGGGAACCCUUUCACUUCAGGAAAACUGACCUAAUUGUUGUUGGACGAGACUGCAGCCCAUUAGAUGGAAUGGUCCUCAUCUAACUGUGCAUCCAGGAAUUAUUUGGGGGAAAAGACUACAGGAGCUCUGUGGACACAGAUCGUAGGGACCCCAGGUAUGUUUAUCUUCUGUGGAGCAGUCAUUGUCAUUGAUUAUAAUCAAGAUGUUUUGUGGCUCUUUUGUCUUCUCAAAUGUUCCCAUCAGAGCCAUUGGUGCUCAGGCAGCAAAACAAUGAUGGAGACAAAGGCUGUCUUGACUCAAAGUAUGUGGCUUUGUGGGUUUGGGUGAAAGUUCUUCAUCGUUUGUUACAUUUUCUGUACUGACAUGAGACUCACCCAGAGGGUAUGUGAAUGUGGAAUGAAUAUAGAAUUGUGAAACCUGUGCUUCAAAAAUAGGUGACCAUACAUUUGUUUUUAUCUUGAACCAUUUUUAACAGCUGUAAUGAGUAAGUUACAUGUGUUAAGUAUAGUGUUUCAUAAACCUUGACAUGUGCCAGAAACUGAAACCAUCAUUAUAGUCAUAAUGCUGACUAUAUGUUUCACUGUGUAUUUGCUUCAUGUCCUAUUUUAACCUGUCCCUGUUCUUCACAGCUUUCCUAGUUUCCAUGGAUUUACAUCCCAUUUUCAUAGAAAACUAUUUUUUUAAGUAUUUUUCUGCUUUAAUUUUUUUUUCAUAAAUACUUGGAGAUUUUUUCAAGUUAUAUUAGUACCUCAAGGUUUUUUCUAAUAGAUAUUCUUUUU